GCAGGAGGCAGAGGGAAGAGGUCAGGGGUCACGGGCGCCUGGCAGGAUGGUCAGGGCCUCUGAGCACCGCUUCAGGAGAGCGGCCUGAGGAACUCCAGUGAGGAAAGCCCGUCAAGAGCCCACCCAGGGGUCACACCGUCCUGUGGGACAGAGCCAGACCCCACCCCCCUGCCCAGCCUGCCUGGCCGCUGCCCUCCCGGCGACAGGGCGGAGCCCCUCCGUGCUCUCUCACUGCCCGCUCCACCAUGGCCAGGCGCAAACGCAAACAGUGCUGGGUGCCAAGGGGAGAAUCCAUGCGGAGCCGUCGAGUUCCAUGCACUUCCCGGCCCUCCGCAACCCGGGCAGCUCAGCUGGAAGGCCGCUCCCAGAUCAAUCCCAGCUCCCCGACAGGGGGGCCGGACUGCGACAGUGUGGCGUUCCCAGCGCGGCAACAAAAGUAACCCCGGCGAUGACAGGCGCCCGGCGGUAACAAAAGUAACAAGCGGAGGCCCCGUCGGCCCGCCCCGGGCUCCCGCAGAUUGGGGUUCAGUCGGCACCUUCUACAUGACAUGGUGGAGUGUGCAUUACAUAAAGCCCCCAGGUUACAGACAGGACCCCUGGGGCCAGGAGAGGAACUGGCAGUGCGUUUGGUGCAGACGAGUGGCAGGUGCCACACGGGGCGAUCACAUGGCACGGGAUUCCUGGCUUUGCCCCUUUAGUGGGUGCCUUGUGAUCUGCGUCAUGGUGAGGAGGACUUCAGGGACAGAUGGCCAGGGAUGUUCCCAGGUGGUGGAGGAGGCUCCACUGGCAGAGAAGCAACGUCAAGCUGAAGACAUUGGGGUGCGAUGGCUGGCCAGGACAGCUUGUCUCCUCGUCCGCACACGGAACGCUGGAUUUCACUCUGUGACCCAGCCAGCGGUCUCAUCUCACAGCCGCAGCUUUCAGCAGGAAGGAGCCCACUGGUGCCUGCCUGACCUACGAGGGCCCGCACCGUUUUGCCCUCCUAACAUUUUGUAUUUGAAGUGCUUGUCACAGUCCACAAAAUAACCACUCAGAAUCUGUUACUAUUUUGUUUAUAUGUUGUAUCAAGUGAAUGUUAAUAAGUCAUCUAAGUGUAUGCUUUAGUUAUAAAUCUUGGAAAAAUAAAAACUUCCUUUUGGAGGAAAAGUGAACUUACUUUGGUAUCAAAAUCACACAACUCCAGGUUGGAUUUUUUUGUGCUUUAAUGUUCGCAGUCACACGAAAGUGGCAUCUCCAUCAGCACUGGGGCGGCCGCCUCCUCAUCAGCCGACAGCUGCACGGUCCCCGCCUCUCAUCCAUUUGCCUGGAUCCCAAAUGCUGCAGCCCACGUAGCGCUAAUCCAU
rnacentral:lncRNA from 1 species